ensembl:piRNA 21ur-4499 ncRNA
UCGAAAUAUCCUUGAUGUUUU